UGGGGAAUUUUGGACAAUGGGCGAAAGCCUGAUCCAGCAAUGCCGCGUGUGUGAAGAAGGCCCUCGGGUUGUAAAGCACUUUUGUCCGGAAAGAAAUCCUUGGCUCUAAUACAGUCGGGGGAUGACGGUACCGGAAGAAUAAGCACCGGCUAACUACGUGCCAGCAGCCGCGGUAAUACGUAGGGUGCAAGCGUUAAUCGGAAUUACUGGGCGUAAAGCGUGCGCAGGCGGUUUGCUAAGACCGAUGUGAAAUCCCCGGGCUCAACCUGGGAACUGCAUUGGUGACUGGCAGGCUAGAGUAUGGCAGAGGGGGGUAGAAUUCCACGUGUAGCAGUGAAAUGCGUAGAGAUGUGGAGGAAUACCGAUGGCGAAGGCAGCCCCCUGGGCCAAUACUGACGCUCAUGCACGAAAGCGUGGGGAGCAAACAGGAUUAGAUACCCUGGUAGUCCACGCCCUAAACGAUGUCAACUAGUUGUUGGGGACUUCAUUUUCCUUAGUAACGUA
rnacentral:rRNA from 1 species